rnacentral:rRNA from 1 species
UACGUAGGUGGCAAGCGUUGUCCGGAUUUACUGGGUGUAAAGGGCGCGUAGGCGGGAAUGCAAGUCAGAUGUGAAAUGCUGAGGCUUAACCUCAGAGCUGCAUUUGAAACUGUGUUUCUUGAGUGAUGGAGAGGCAGGCGGAAUUCCAAGUGUAGCGGUGAAAUGCGUAGAUAUUUGGAGGAACACCAGUGGCGAAGGCGGCCUGCUGGACAUUAACUGACGCUGAGGCGCGAAAGCGUGGGGAGUAAACAGGAUUAGAUACCCUGGUAGUCCACGCUGUAAACGAUGAAUACUAGGUGUGGGGGGACUGACCCCCUCCGUGCCGGAGUUAACACAAUAAGUAUUCCACCUGGGGAGUACGGCCGCAAGGUUGAA